rnacentral:rRNA from 1 species
AUCCGGUGCUUGCACCGGGGAUUAGUGGCGAACGGGUGAGUAACACGUGAGUAACCUGCCCUUAACUCUGGGAUAAGCCUGGGAAACUGGGUCUAAUACCGGAUAUGACUCCUCAUCGCAUGGUGGGGGGUGGAAAGCUUUUUGUGGUUUUGGAUGGACUCGCGGCCUAUCAGCUUGUUGGUGAGGUAAUGGCUUACCAAGGCGACGACGGGUAGCCGGCCUGAGAGGGUGACCGGCCACACUGGGACUGAGACACGGCCCAGACUCCUACGGGAGGCAGCAGUGGGGAAUAUUGCACAAUGGGCGCAAGCCUGAUGCAGCGACGCCGCGUGAGGGAUGACGGCCUUCGGGUUGUAAACCUCUUUCAGUAGGGAAGAAGCGAAAGUGACGGUACCUGCAGAAGAAGCGCCGGCUAACUACGUGCCAGCAGCCGCGGUAAUACGUAGGGCGCAAGCGUUAUCCGGAAUUAUUGGGCGUAAAGAGCUCGUAGGCGGUUUGUCGCGUCUGCCGUGAAAGUCCGGGGCUCAACUCCGGAUCUGCGGUGGGUACGGGCAGACUAGAGUGAUGUAGGGGAGACUGGAAUUCCUGGUGUAGCGGUGAAAUGCGCAGAUAUCAGGAGGAACACCGAUGGCGAAGGCAGGUCUCUGGGCAUUAACUGACGCUGAGGAGCGAAAGCAUGGGGAGCGAACAGGAUUAGAUACCCUGGUAGUCCAUGCCGUAAACGUUGGGCACUAGGUGUGGGGGACAU